GGUUAAGCGACUAAGCGUACACGGUGGAUGCCCUGGCAGUCAGAGGCGAUGAAGGACGUGCUAAUCUGCGAUAAGCGUCGGUGAGGUGAUAUGAACCGUUAUAACCGGCGAUUUCCGAAUGGGGAAACCCAGUGUGAUUCGUCACACUAUCAUUAACUGAAUCCAUAGGUUAAUGAGGCGAACCGGGGGAACUGAAACAUCUAAGUACCCCGAGGAAAAGAAAUCAACCGAGAUUCCCCCAGUAGCGGCGAGCGAACGGGGAGGAGCCCAGAGCCUGAAUCAGUGUGUGUGUUAGUGGAAGCGUCUGGAAAGGCGCGCGAUACAGGGUGACAGCCCCGUACACAAAAAUGCAC
rnacentral:rRNA from 1 species